GAAGAGGGAGAGAAAGGCAGUAUUUAGCCAAGAGAGAAGAAGAAAGAAAGGCAAUAUUUGGCCACAAAGAAAAGAGGUUAGAACCAAAGGCUAUUCGGCCAAAACAAAAAAGGGCUUAAAGGGAAAAGCAGAAAAACAAAACGAACAAAACCGAGAGAUACUUUAAAGUCUUUGCAAGAUUUGGCACCAAAAGAAAAAGAAGAAAACAAACAAUGCUCACCCACCGAGACAGAAAAAGAGAAAAUAAAAUAAAAUAAAAACCAAAAGUUCCACAAAAGCCAAAAAUGACCCCUAAAACUCCCCCAGCUGAAUUCUCAAGGUUUAAUAACCCCAAAUGGCACAGCACUCCCCUUCUCAAAUUCCUUGAUUUUCUCCUAAAAACUCUACCCUUAUCCUUCCUUGAUUCACUCCACC
rnacentral:lncRNA from 1 species